rnacentral:rRNA from 1 species
CGUAAGGACAUGUGGACAGUAUGGGAGUGAGAAUGUUGGCAUGAGUAGCGAGAUGUGGGUGAGAAUCCCACAGGCCGUAAACCCAAGGUUUCCAGGGGAAGGUUCGUCCGCCCUGGGUUAGUCGGAACCUAAGCUGAGGCCGAAAGGCGUAGGUGAUGGACAACAGGUUGAUAUUCCUGUACUACCGAUAACCAUUUGAGAGAAGGGAUGACACAGUAGGAUAAGCUAAGCACACUGUUGGUUAUGUGUGCCCAAGCAUUGAGGCAGUCAAAGUAGGCAAAUCCGCUUUGAUAAUGCUGGGAUGUGAUGGGGAGAGAAAUUUAGUAGCGAAGUAGCUGAUUUCACACUGUCAAGAAAAGUCUCUAUCGAGGUUAAAGGUACCCG